AACGUCCUACGGGGGGCAGCAGUGAGGAAUAUUGGUCAAUGGACGAGAGUCUGAACCAGCCAAGUAGCGUGAAGGAUGACUGCCCUAUGGGUUGUAAACUUCUUUUAUAUGGGAAUAAAGUGAGCCACGUGUGGCUUUUUGUAUGUACCAUACGAAAAAGCAUCGGCUAACUCCGUGCCAGCAGCCGCGGUAAUAUGGAGGAUGCGAGCGUUAUCCGGAUUUAUUGGUUUUAA
rnacentral:rRNA from 1 species